GUUUAUGGCCAUGCCACCCUGAACAAGCCUGAUCCCACCUGGUCUUGCAAGUUAAGCAGGGUCAGGCCUGGUUAGUACUUGGAUGGAAGACCACCUAGGAAGACCAGGUGCUGUAGGCA
rnacentral:rRNA from 1 species